CGGACAGACGGGAGCUUGCUCCCUUAUGUUAGCGGCGGACGGGUGAGUAACACGUGGGUAACCUGCCUGUAAGACUGGGAUAACUCCGGGAAACCGGGGCUAAUACCGGAUGCUUGAUUGAACCGCAUGGUUCAAUUAUAAAAGGUGGCUUUUACCUACCACUUACAGAUGGACCCGCGGCGCAUUACCUAGUUGGUAGGUAACGGCUCACCAAGGCAACGAUGCGUACCCAACCUGAAAGGGUGAUCGGCCACACUGGGACUGAAACACGGCCCAAACUCCUACGGGAGGCAGCAGUAGGGAAUCUUCCGCAAUGGACAAAAGUCUGACGGAGCAACGCCCCGUGAGUGAUGAAGGUUUUCGGAUCGUAAAACUCUGUUGUUAGGGAAAAACAAGUACCGUUCGAAUAGGGCGGUACCUUGACGGUACCUAACCAAAAAGCCACGGCUAACUACGUGCCACCAGCCGCGGUAAUACGUAGGUGGCAAGCGUUGUCCGGAAUUAUUGGGCGUAAAGCGCGCGCAGGCGGUUUCUUAAGUCUGAUGUGAAAGCCCCCGGCUCAACCGGGAAGGGUCAUUGGAAACUGGGGAACUUGAGUGCAAAAAAGGAGAGUGAAAUUCCACGUGUAGCGGUGAAAUGCGUAGAGAUGUGAAGGAACACCAGUGGCGAAGGCGACUCUCUGGUCUGUAACUGACGCUGAGGCGCGAAAGCGUGGGGAGCGAACAGGAUUAGAUACCCUGGUAG
rnacentral:rRNA from 1 species